CCAAAGACUAUACACUUAUCAAUGUAACAAUUAUUCAAACCAUACAACUAUCCACGCUAUUAAUCCAUAUAAACUAACCGAUCACAUAACAUUUCAACAAAUUCAUCUCUACAAUUAUCCGUACUAUUAAUCAACUUUUGACUAACCAACUAUAUCACAUUCUAGUAACCUCAUCUUUACAGUCAGUGGUUAUGGUACAGUUAGUAAGUGGUUAUAAUACAGUUUUAAAGUCACAGAUCAG